UUCUCGCGAGAGGGCCGCGCCUGCCCCGGGAAAGUUCUCAGAGGCGGAAGUGGGGUCGCGGAAGCGGCGUUGCCAUGGAGUCCGCGGAGGACUGGCUGGUGGAAUCCUUGCGCUUGUACCAAGAUUUCCAUGCAUUCGACCUUUCGGGAGCCACACGAGUCCUAGAAUGGAUUGGUGACAAAGGAGUCUGUGUCGCUGGCUAUGAAAGCCUGAAGAAAAAUGAGAUUCUUCAUCUGACAUUACCUCUCAGACUUUCUGUCAAAGAAAACCAGGGCUUAUUCCCAGAGCGAGAUUUCAAGGUUUGCCACGGAGGAUUUUCAGACACGCCUGUCUUUGAUCUGAAGCACGUGCCAGACACCAGAGUACUGGUAACCAGUGGUCUCCCUGGUCGUAACCUGCGUGUGUGGCAGGUCCCAGAGGACAGUGACGUCAUCCGGGCUGUCGGCAGCAUCGCGGUGCAGGAGGAGGAGGGGAGUCUGUGGCCUAGGAUGGCCAUCUUCUCUUCGAUGGCCCCGGGGGUCCUGCACGGGGCGAGGCUCCGCAGCCUGAAGGUUGUGGAUCUGGAAUCCCAGAAGACCACGUACUCCUCAGGGGUCAGCGACAGUGAGGAGCUGAGCAGCCUGCAGGUGCUGGAUGCGGACACCUUUGCCUUCUGCUGUGCCUCGGGCCGCCUGGGGCUGGUCGACAUCCGCCAGAAGUGGGCGCCGUCAGAGAAUGUCAGCCCCGGGCCUGGGGCUGCCGGAGGGAGGUGGUGUGCUGAGGUUGGGCACAGAUGCCAGGGCCCCGGGCCCAGCAUUGCCAGCCUUGGCUCAGAUGGGCAGUUGUGUCUUCUUGACCCCCGGGAUCUCUGCCACCCCGUGAGCUCCGUGCGGUGCCCUGUGUCUGCGCCCAGCCCCGACCCAGAGCUGCUGCGGGUGACUUGGGCCCCGGGCCUGGACAGCUGCCUGGCCGUCUCAGGUUUUGAUGGGACAGUCCAGGUCUAUGAUGCCACAUCUUGGGACGGAACGGGGAGCCGAGUAGAGCCGCUCUUCACUCACCGAGGUCACAUCUUCCUAGAAGACAGCCAGCCGGACGCCGCACCGCUGGUCACCACCCACACCUGGCACCCGCACAAGCUGAGGACUUUGUUAUCGGCAGCGAGUGACGCCUCUCUGCACGUGUGGGACUGGGCGGAGCGCCGCGCGGCCUGCUGACCCUGCCUCUCCCCGCCCGGGCCUUGGAGCAGGGGAGGCGCUGGAGAGCCAAGGAGGAGCUGACACCCUUCACCACGGAGCUAAACACAUGUGUGGCUGAGGAGUGGGAGGAGCGGAAGACAGAGCAGCUGCAAAGGCACCUGCCCCCCGGCCCAAGCAUAAAAACAAAAUGGCAGCCACUUCCCUUCCUCCAAAUCUCAUCCCGAAGCGACUCUCGUGGCUCACUCCACCUGGCACCGUACAGGGAAGGGAAUUCUGGGGGUGCAGUUCUACCUGACCAAGUCCCCACAUUAUAAAGCACCUCGAGUUUGGGGGUGCAGCUGGAGAAUUUGCAUCUCUAGUAGGUUCCCAGGUGAUGCUCCUGCCGCACGUAUGUGAGCCACCCUGAGUCCCUGUGUGUCCAGCAGCACAUUUGUUGUGCAGGACUGUCUCAACAGCCGCCUUACAUCUGUGUGGCCCCGGCCACCUAAUGCCAGUUGAGCUUCUGAUUUAUGGGACAACUACAAAUCCCCACCUCCGGUUUCUAAAAUGUUCCUUUGGGAACCUACACAGUCCCCAGAAAGGAACUCCUGGGGUUCUCGCAGCAAUUCUACGAAGAUGCCCCAGGGAACCCCUAGAGGGACCCAAAGACAACCCGUCAUUCACACUGACAUCACAGGACCUACUCCAGUUCAGCUCUGGGCAAGGAGAGUGGAGACUCAGCAGCACGUAAGGAAGAGAAUGUUCAGGAACUGUGUUGGCCUCAUAGAAAUUCAAGAUCUAAGAGAAAGACUAAGCAGCAAAAUGGAGAGAAGCCGGCACUACAGCAAAUCACCCUGCAGAGAAGGCGUUUCCUCCGUCCAGGUCCCGGCUGCCUCCAUGCCUCCUGAGAGAUGUAUAUGGCCACGUGGCCGAAUGUCACCAACUCCCGGGAAAACAGAACACCUGUCCAAAAUGUGCUGCCUUGGGACAAAAUGCCUCUCUACAUGGCCUUCGUCAGAGGGCAGGUGACAAAAAGGACGUAGAAGAAACGAAAAAGUGAGUUUUUGUUGGCUUUUAAAGGCGAUGAGGGGGAACGGAAAGGGAGCAGGGGAGAGAAAGGAAAGAAAGAAGGUGACCUUUGCUGAACGCCAGUGAGCUGUGCCGGAAGUUUUCACACUUGCUCGGUAUACAGUCAGUACGUGGCAGAACCAGGAUUUGAACGUGGGGCUCUGUCCCCUCCACCCCUCCCCAGCCCUGCACACCAUGUGGGCGAGAUUCGGAUACGGAGAAAAAGAAGUAACCGUUCCCUUUAAGGCAAACACACAAAUCAGCAUGAUCUUACAAUCUCGGGUUCAAGGAAAAGAAUGACUUAAUACCAUUCCUCCCUGCUUCAGCUGUGGGGCUGCCUUGCGUAAGGAGGGGGGCUGGACAACAUUUUUCUGGCUGCUCAUCAUCCCCUGGUCACUGCCACUCUCCUCCAGAGAAAGACCCCGAGUCCCAGGAUCAGGCAGGGCUGUGGGGAAGAGAAAGGAGCCAUUAGAGGACCAUGCUCUCAAC